rnacentral:rRNA from 4 species
UACGUAGGUGGCAAGCGUUGUCCGGAUUUAUUGGGUUUAAAGGGUGCGUAGGCGGCCUAUUAAGUCAGUUCUGAAAUAUCCCGGCUUAACCGGGAGGGUGGGAUUGAUACUGAUGGGCUUGAGUGGAAUCGAGGUAGGCGGAAUUGACGGUGUAGCGGUGAAAUGCUUAGAUAUCGUCAAGAACACCGAUAGUGUAGACAGCUUACUAGACUUCAACUGACGCUGAGGCACGAAAGUGUGGGGAUCAAACAGG